rnacentral:rRNA from 1 species
GUYUUGUUGAUUAUAAUUUCAAUYUGACCUGCCCGGUGAGGGCUUAAACGGCCGCGGUAUUUUGACCGUGCAAAGGUAGCAUAGUCACUAGUUUUUUAAUUGAAAGCUUGAAUGAAAGGUUUGAUGAAAAAAAAACUGUCUCUGUAGAAAUUUGUUAGAAUUUUAUUUUUAAGUAAAAAAGCUUAGAUUUGAAUAGAAGACGAGAAGACCCUAUAGAGUUUUAUAUUUUGUGAGUGAAGGGAGUUUUAGGCUUUUAAAAUUUUUUUUAUUUGUUAGGGUAUUUUGUUGGGGUGAUGGAAAAAUUAAUUUAACUUUUUUUGUAUAGAAACAUUUGUUUAUGAGUGAUUGAUCCUAGUUUGUAGAUUAUAAGAUUAAAUUACCUUAGGGAUAACAGCGUAAUUUUUUUUAGAGUUCUUAUCGAAAGAAAAGAUUGCGACCUCGAUGUUGGAUUAAAAUUAAUUAUUGGUGUAGAAGCUAAUAAAUUAGGUCUGUUCGACCUUUAAAAUUUUACAUGAUCUGAGUUUAAACCGGCGUGAGCCAGGUCGG